GCAGUGAUGAACAUAUGGCGUUGAUCAUGUCUUGAACUGAUAAAGCCUACACGUCCUCUAAGAAGUUCUGAGCUU